rnacentral:rRNA from 1 species
CGGCAGCUCAAGUGGUGGCCACGCUUAUUGGGCCUAAAGCGUCCGUAGCCGGUUUGAUAAAUCUUUUGUGAAAUUGUACAGCUUAACUGUACAGCGUGCAAGAGACACUGUCAAACUUGAGACCGGGAGGAGUCAGAAGUAUUCCAGAGGGAGCGGUAAAAUGUUAUAAUCUCUGGAGGACUACCUGUGGCGAAGGCGUCUGACCAGAACGGAUCUGACGGUGAGGGACGAAAGCCAGGGGAGCGAACCGGAUUAGAUACCCGAGUAGUCC